rnacentral:hammerhead_ribozyme from 1 species
GCGCUGCUGACGAGUCCCACAAUAGGACGAAACAGUCGUCAAGUGC